UGAGGAAGGAAUUUGUCUCAGUCCACUUCCACACCUGUCCGCCUGAGCUGGGCCUUAGCCUGAACCUCUGCCUCUGUAUGGAUCCCUGAGUUUGAGUUUUAUGCAAUUUCUUGUAUAAGAGGAGAGCCUGAGUCCAUGGAAGUUGGGAUUGAACAUCCUGAAUAUGCAGUUCCUUGGAGAGCCACCAAUAAAAGACCUAAGCAAGAGACAUGAUGUCACCUUCGGGGAGGAGGCUCUUCAGCUGUCUGGCACGAGAGGAGGAGGAAUGAGGAGGAUCACUGGCCUUGAACCCCCGAGAGGCUAGAGCACCUUUCUGGGACCCAGUCCAGGGUUUGUCUUGAACAUCCAGCUCCAAAAGAGAUGUUGUGCAGAUUCAAGCUGCCAAGUCCUGAAGGACCUGAGGGAAAACCCAACCCCAAGCAGCCCAGAUGGUAUCUGGGUGUCCUGUGCCCUACCCACGAAGAUCAGGAGCCUAAAGUCUAGAGCUCGCUGCAGAACCAGACCAAAGACAGUUUAAGGGCCACUGAGCCAAGCCUUCCCGACCUCCCAUGGAGAGG
rnacentral:lncRNA from 1 species